rnacentral:rRNA from 2 species
GUGAUUGAUAACCAUUACGCCAGCAUCCUUGCAGAAGCGCGUACCUCGAUCCCCAGCAGCGUAUUAUACAAUGGGCUAUAACACUCCCCGUAGGGAGCCACAUUCCCACUGCUUUUAUCCGCCGCCGAAAAUCGAUGCUGGCCUUUACUGGGCAAAGUGCACCGGAGAGAACCCCGGAUGAUCCGCCCAGAAAAAGUCUGGUCACAAAUCCUUCCCUUUCAACAAUUUCACGUGCUAUUUAACCCUCUUUUCAAAGUGCUUUUCAUCUUUCGAUCACUCUACUUGUGCGCUAUCGGUCUCUGGCCAAUAUUUAGCUUUAGAAGAAAUUUACCUCCCAUUUAGAGCAGCAUUCCCAAACUACUCGACUCGUCGAAGGAGAUUUACAGAGGCUAGGCAUUCAACCGUACGGGGCUCUCACCCUCUAAGGCGUCCUGUUCCAAGGAACUCGGAAGAUACCGCACCAAAAUCAUCCUCUACAAAUUACAAUUCGGACCCGAGGGCCAGAUUUCAAAUUUGAG